GUGGGGAAUCUUGCGCAAUGGGCGAAAGCCUGACGCAGCCAUGCCGCGUGAAUGAUGAAGGUCUUAGGAUUGUAAAAUUCUUUCACCGGGGACGAUAAUGACGGUACCCGGAGAAGAAGCCCCGGCUAACUUCGUGCCAGCAGCCGCGGUAAUACGAAGGGGGCUAGCGUUGCUCGGAAUUACUGGGCGUAAAGGGAGCGUAGGCGGACAUUUAAGUCAGGGGUGAAAUCCCGAGGCUCAACCUCGGAACUGCCUUUGAUACUGGGUGUCUUGAGUGUGAGAGAGGUGAGUGGAACUCCGAGUGUAGAGGUGAAAUUCGUAGAUAUUCGGAAGAACACCAGUGGCGAAGGCGACUCACUGGCUCAUUACUGACGCUGAGGCUCGAAAGCGUGGGGAGCAAACAGGAUUAGAUACCCCUGUAGUCC
rnacentral:rRNA from 1 species